UACAUUACUAAUUACAUCAGAUUAUAGUCCUAUUAAUACAAGCUAGAUGACAUAGAAAAUUACAGAAGAAUUAAUGUGACUAUCCGAUAUUCAAGGAGGCUCCUCAAAUACAUCAUUUCAACAAUAGAAUUUUAGGAGACAUUUGACUCAAAUAAAUUUUCUGCGUGAAUGGUUCUACACAAAAUAAUUUGGUUUACUUUUCCUAAAUCUUGAUAUAAAGUUUGUCUAGUGUUGAAGCCUGUUAUUGUUGCCGGUCUUCAUUAAUGACAAAUACAACUUUGAUGAUAAUACAAGACACUAACCACAAAAACAAAAGGGAAAAAUAUCUAUACGACUGAAACUGCAAUGGGACUUCGGACAUUGUGAAUCCCAUCAAACCAGGUAUACCAUCCAAAUGCGUACUUGUCUUUCUCCAUGCCUUUAUUUACACUAUUUGCUUUUACUGUGAUGGUGAAUGUCUUCCUCUGGCCAACAUGAUUAAAGAAUAAAAUUGAAGGUGAAACCUUCACUGAGAAUCCCGGUGGUGGUAUAACUUUGAUGAAAUAGACACUCUUACUGCUGCCAACAUUUGUGACUCUUCGCUCUACAGUAGAGGUGCCAUUGAGUUUGGGAAUGGCGAGGGAUGGAUAAUUGAGAUCAGCAGGAGAGGGUGGCUUUAUAGGACACUUGAAGGAAGAAUCCAGGUUCUU
rnacentral:lncRNA from 1 species